UGUGGAUGCUUCCCCCGAAUGCAGAUUAUCUCCUGGUUGUCAUUAUCUCCUGUUGUUUUCAGUACAUCAUUGCGCUUCAAUUGUGCUCUCUCAGUAGACACCACAAGAACGAAAGUAAGUUCAGAAUUCUCAUUGCUGUUCAGUGUUGUUUCUGAGAGUCAUGAGGGGAAGAAGUUUUUUCCUCUUCGGAUUGAAGCUGAAAUCUUCACAUUAUCACUGGUCUUCAUCCACUGAGGCUGAUAGUGAAAUAGCAAGUAUUGGAAGAUUCCUGGUAAAGUUUUGCAAGUUGGCAAAAAGGCAUCAGAAGUAUCAGGAGACUGCACUGGGAAGAUCCCAAGGAGAAUACUGGAAGAAAGGUUUCCGUGAUGCAUAUUGUUUCUUCCUACACAAAGAUUUCUGAGAUUGUAUAAUCUUGGACCUCUCUUAAUAGGACAGCGGGCUUUGGUAUCUAGUCUUAUCUGGGAGUCCACCUUAUUUCUCAGGAGGUAAACAACAUUAGCCACUCCUAGUGAAGAUGACUGAAACUUCUUAUUUGGGGCCAACAUAGUUAGGGCCUGUGCUGUUACUACAGUUGUUUUGCCUCAAUAUUUGCACUUUUCGUACAUUUUGAUGCAAAAUUUAUAGCUUCUUAUCCAAUUACCAGGGUAGAAGUAAAAUGGAAUCCUGUUGUGAAAGUGAUUCAAGCAAUUAACAUGCCAAAAAAAAAAAAAAAGAUACCUCUUGCUUUCAUCAUUCACGUUGUGUGAACAGUGUCUGAGGGGUGUCUGUAUUCCAAGUACCUGCUGAGGGCUGACCCAGCCCUUUCAGGUGCUUCUGGGGACAGCCCUGCUGUUGGGUGUUUGCUGUACAAGCUGUGCUGUGUUCUUUGGGAGCUGCCAUUACUGCGGCCCUACACGUGCAUCUUCCCGUGCAGCUGUUUGCUUUCGCACUACUUGGACGUUUUUCAAGCUGCUGUUCUUAUUUGGUGGUCUGAACUUGUACAACUCAAAUAUAUGUCGCUUGCUUUUAUUUCAAA